rnacentral:rRNA from 1 species
GUACCCACAAUUACUUGGAUAACUGUGGUAAUUCUAGAGCUAAUACAUGCAAACAGAGCUCCGACCGGAGACGGAAGGAGUGCUUUUAUUAGAUCAAAACCAAUCGGUGGCGAGUUUACGCUCGUCAUCGUACAACUUGGUGACUCUGAAUAACUUUACGCUGAUCGCACGGUCUCGCACCGGCGACGCAUCUUUCAAAUGUCUGCCUUAUCAACUGUCGAUGGUAGGUUCUGCGCCUACCAUGGUUGUAACGGGUAACGGGGAAUCAGGGUUCGAUUCCGGAGAGGGAGCCUGAGAAACGGCUACCACAUCCAAGGAAGGCAGCAGGCGCGCAAAUUACCCACUCCCGGCACGGGGAGGUAGUGACGAAAAAUAACGAUACGGG